UGCCAGGUGCGGCGAAUCGGUAAGCCACUCGACUGUUAAUCGAGCGCGAAAGCAACUGUGGGUUCGAGUCCCACCCUGGCAGCCA
rnacentral:tRNA from 1 species